rnacentral:rRNA from 1 species
AUGCCGCAGCCGGGGAGCACCGUUCCGCCGGAGGAGGCGGUGCGCACGCACGGCCUCCUCACCGAGGUCCUCCAGGACCCGUCGGACCAAAAGCUCGCCGAGGCGUGGCGCGCCACGCCAUAUAGUUGUUGGUUGGGAACUUGUUUACUUGGCGUGACUUUCCAAGAGUGCAGCAGUGAGCGCUUUGCUGAAUCAUACUCUGAUUGGUUUGAGAAGAUUCUGAGGAACUUGCAGAAAGGACCACCUAGCUUGCAACUUGUUACUUUGGUCUCUUGUACUUCCAUGUCUGAUCUAUUUGCGAGAUUGGCGAAAUAUUUGAACUUAAAGAAAGAGGCAUCAUCCUUUGCUGGAAGAGUUGUUGAACCAUUGCUGCUGCUUUUAAAUGAAAAUGGUCCAGUGGCGGAUGAAGCGAUUGAUUUGCUAAGGACAGUUAUUAAAUUGUAUCCCUCAUCUGUAAAUCGACACUACAAUAAAAAAUUUGCGAGAGUCUUAGCAAUGCUACCUUCUGUCCGAGUAUCUGAGGGCACUUGGUCAUUGAUGAUUCAGAAAGUACUGAUUGGUAUAAACAAUCUUCUGAACGAUGCCUUUGUUGGGCUGGAAGAAGAAAAGAAAGGGCGUGAGAUUAUGAUGCUUCUAGUUCCACCUGGUAAUGAUCCUCCACCAGUGUUGGGAGAUCAAGUAAAGUUGGGAGGCAAUCUGCAUGUGACAAAGAAAUUUCGUGUCUUCACUGUUCCUACCAUUUCAGCCCUUGCCCAUUGCUGCUGCAUGAUGCUGACUAGUUAUUACCCGGUUCAGGUCACCGUUCCUGUCCGUGCUUUGAUAGCUCUGUCACGGAGAGUGCUCUUAGUUGAUGGAUCAUUGCGCAACAAGUCGUUUCCUUCAACUACUUCCUUGCACCAAGAGCUUAUUUGUUUUGAGCUUCCAUCAUUGCAUUCAUCUUUCUUGGAUUUGCUCCAUGCAACUAUUAAAGGAAUGCGAAGCCAACUUUUACCGCAUGCUGCUAAUAUUGUACGGCUUGUAACUGAUUACUGCAAAAUUGCGAAGUUACCUACUACGAGGACAAAAGUUUACAGCAUUGUUCAGCUGUUGCUGACCUCCAUGGGUGUUGGGCGGGCCCAUCACAGUUCGCGCCAAAAACGGUCCGUCCGGCGCCCCCAGGCGACCCCCAGCGCGCCGGGUUCGAGUUGGGUACGCUGGCGUCAAUUUCGGCCCAAUCCGGCGGAAAACGGGCUCCUAGGGGCGCGACUGGGCCAUUUUUUCGGCGUCGGCGCAGAAAAAGUGGCCUGGGGGGUCUGUUGGGGGGGGGGUUCAUUGAGGACAGAUCACUGGAGGGCAAAAGUGGACUUGCUCCUAAUUAACAUAGCUACAAGUGCUUGUGACUCAGGAGCAGGGUAUGAGCCAUCAACAACCAAAGUCGGGGAGACAAGCAUAUCAGACUUUCGACUUGCUUCAUAUAAGGCAUUGCUGGCAUCUUUUCUUUCAUCUCCUCAUGCCCGACCACUUUAUUUAGCCCAAGGAACUGAACUCUUCAGAAAAGGGAAGCUAGAGAUAGGCACUACGCUCGCAGAGUUUUGUUCACAUGCUUUGCUGGCUUUGGAUGUUCUUACGCACCCUCGAGCCCUUUCUCUAGAAAAGGCAGGUCCUUUAGUCCCUGGACUCAACCGCAGUGAACCAGAAAAGGCAAUUUUUGGUGCUGGCACAUUUAACUUUUCACCAUCCGAAGGGCAGCGCCAGGUUAUUGCGGAUGAAGAUACUUAUGAUGAUUGGUUGCCAUCCAUCAAGGAUAAUGAACCGACAGAAAAGUCCACUCUUGUAAAAGAAGUUCCGCAAAUUGGUUCACAUACAAUUGCUGAGGCAGUAGAAGAUGUUCCUGCAUGCAACAGGAGUGAUGCCAUUAUGGUGGUUGCGACCACAGAAAAAACCUCCCAGCCAAUGACAGUGGAUAAUCCUUCUAGCUUCAAUGCUGUUUCAAAUCCAAUCUACUCAAGGCCACCUGAAACACAGAAAGCCACAGCUACCCCCUUUCGAGAGGAAAAGCGUGCUGAUCAUGUUAAUUCUCUUCUUCAGAAUAAAAGCUCAGCUGCGGUCAACCUACCAUUCCGCAAUCUGGCAACCUCAGGUGAUAAACCAUCUGACCCAGGUGUUGCUGCUCCGAGCAGCUAUAAAGAUGCUCCGAGCGAGAUACAAGACGGCGACCCGGAUUCUGACUAUUGA